CUCCCAGUAACGGCGAGUGAACGGAGAUUAGCCCGUCACCGAAGUCCGGUGCUCUUGCACACAGGACAAUGUGGUGUUGAGGCGUGCACCUGGGGCACGCGUGUCCACCCGAAGUCCAACUCCGAUUGUGGCUUGGAUUUUGCCCAGAGCGGGUGUAAGGCCCGUACGGGUGGGCGGUUGAUCGCGAGCGCGGCCCUCAGAUGUGCAUGCUUUCGAGUCGGAUUGCUUGAGAAUGCAGUCCAAAGUGGGUGGUAAACUCCAUCCAAGGCUAAAUACUGGCACGAGUCCGAUAGUAGACAAGUACCGUGAGGGAAAGUUGAAAAGUACUCUGAAGAGAGAGUAAAUAGUACGUGAAACCGAUUGCAGGGAAGCUGGUGGAGUCAAGCUUCAUGCUUGGAGAAUUCUCGCUCGGGGCUUUGCUGUGUUUUGGGCCUGGCGCCGGUCAGCUUGGAAAGAGUUGGGCACACACGUGUGCCUCAAGUCGGUCCGGGCGCGACUGAUUGUACCGGUGCUUGUGUCCUGUCCUGAGCGAUCUAUUCUUCGUGGCAUAAAUCACGGUCGAUAGUGUGGUGAUACGUGCUGUCCGACUGUCUAACUGUGCUUUGGUGAGCCUCCGGCUUGUCGGGUGCAGGAUGGCAGGUGGUGGUUGCGGGCCUCGUGUCCUCGACUGCUGAAACUGGUUUCGACCGGCUGAUGGCCGGACAGUAUCGUCGCUAUCGCGAAUGUGUGGUGUGCUGUCCCUGGACUGUGCACUGCUCAGAACCGUGA
rnacentral:rRNA from 1 species